rnacentral:rRNA from 1 species
GUGACCUCAAAUCAGGUAGGACUACCCGCUGAACUUAAGCAUAUCAAUAAGCGGAGGAAAAGAAACUAACAAGGAUUCCCCUAGUAACUGCGAGUGAAGCGGGAAAAGCUCAAAUUUAAAAUCUGUCAGUCUAUGGCUGUCCGAGUUGUAAUCUAGAGAAGUGUUAUCCGCGCUGGACCGUGUACAAGUCUCCUGGAAUGGAGCGUCAUAGAGGGUGAGAAUCCCGUCUUUGACACGGACUACCAGGGCUUUGUGAUGCGCUCUCAAAGAGUCGAGUUGUUUGGGAAUGCAGCUCAAAAUGGGUGGUAAAUUCCAUCUAAAGCUAAAUAUUGGCGAGAGACCGAUAGCGAACAAGUACCGUGAGGGAAAGAUGAAAAGAACUUUGGAAAGAGAGUUAAACAGUACGUGAAAUUGCUGAAAGGGAAACGCUUGAAGUCAGUCGCGUUGUCCAGGGAUCAACCUUGCUUCUGCUUGGUGUACUUUCUGGGGGACGGGUCAGCAUCAAUUUUGACUGUUGGAAAAAAGUCAAGGGAAUGUGGCAUCUUUGGAUGUGUUAUASCCCUUGGUUGCAUACAAUGG